rnacentral:piRNA from 1 species
GCAAGGUUAGGGCUUGAAGAGUGA